rnacentral:ncRNA from 2 species
AACCGAAUAUUCGGGAUAGGUGUCCGCAAGGACUUAAUAGGGAAGUUUGGUGCAAAGCCAGCACGGUCCCGCCACUGUAACGGGGAGCGAUCCUGCGAAAACGCCACUGGAGCGUGGGCUCUGGGAAGGUGCAGGGGUGCUAUGAACCGGAGUCAGGAGAACUGCCUGUCUGACAAUCACCGC